rnacentral:rRNA from 1 species
UGAAUUGCAGAAUUCAGUGAAUCAUCGAAUCUUUGAACGCACAUUGCGCCCUGUGGUAUUCCGCAGGGCAUGCCUGUUCGAGCGUCAUUU